rnacentral:rRNA from 1 species
GAUGAACGCUGGCGGCGUGCCUAAUACAUGCAAGUCGAGCGAACAGACGAGGAGCUUGCUCCUCUGACGUUAGCGGCGGACGGGUGAGUAACACGUGGAUAACCUACCUAUAAGACUGGGAUAACUUCGGGAAACCGGAGCUAUUACCGGAUAAUAUAUUGAACCGCAUGGUUCAAUAGUGAAAGACGGUUUUGCUGUCACUUAUAGAUGGAUCCGCGCCGCAUUAGCUAGUUGGUAAGGUAACGGCUUACCAAGGCAACGAUGCGUAGCCGACCUGAGAGGGUGAUCGGCCACACUGGAACUGAGACACGGUCCAGACUCCUACGGGAGGCAGCAGUAGGGAAUCUUUCGCAAUGGGCGAAAGCCUGACGGAGCAACGCCGCGUGAGUGAUGAAGGUCUUCGGAUCGUAAAACUCUGUUAUUAGGGAAGAACAAAUGUGUAAGUAACUAUGCACGUCUUGACGGUACCUAAUCAGAAAGCCACGGCUAACUACGUG